AUGAAAUUCAAAGUUUCCCAAAAUUCCAUUUUAUCAAGUCUUCCACCUACUCACGUAUCUAAUCUCGUUCUCUUCUCUUCCCCAUGUACAAAAUCUUCUCUAAUCACACAAUAUAUAUAACCCGAAAAGACGGAAGAAGAAACCAAAAAGAAGGAAGACGAAACCAAAUCAUCACACAAACGAACUAGAAAGAAGGAAGAAAAAUCAAGUACCUGAUCGAAUCAUUGCUUCCAUAACCACCCUAUUCACUGCAAAAGGUCGACACUGCGCUUUUAAUUGCGUCAAUUACAAUUUGUUUCACAGACUUUAAAAAAUUGCGAUUUCAUAACACAUAAUCGACAAAAUUCUUCGACACCAUUUCGAGUUCCUAGACCAAUCAUCUAUUUAGAUGUGGAGGAAAUAAGCUCAACCCAAGUGGAUCCCAAUUCUAAGAAUCGUCAUGUGCAUUGGAGUGAUGCAAUGGACGGUUGUAUGAUAACUACACUAUUGCAUCAAGUGUUGGUCGGUCACAAAAGGAGUGACGAUGGAUUUUCAUCAUUUCACGUUUCCAAAGAAAUUGAGAGCGUGCAUAACGGAUGGGGAGUCAUGGUCUCAGAUAAGAAUGCGAGGGUGCGAUUGAAGACUCUAAAAAAAGAAUUUUUUGAAGUUCGCCAAUUGUUGAGUAUGAGUGGUUUUAUGUUAGAUCCUGACACUGGAUGUGUCACAGCUGAUGUUUUAGUUUGGGAGGAGUUUUUAAAGGGAAAACUAGAAUUCAGAAUGUAGAGGACCAAACUCUGUCCUUGUUAUGAUGAUAUGAAGGCUAUCUUUGGAAAUGACUCUGCUACAGGAGAUCGAGAUGUAAUCGGCAAUGAUAAUUUAUCUCCCAUUCCUAGUAUGUUAAAUAUUUUAGAAUAUUGGUCGUGAUACGCCUCCACUGCUUUAAGAUGGCGUGAUUGAAUAAUUCAACAAACAUAUGCAAAAGUAUGGUAUCUAUGUUGAAUUGCUACUUUCUA